rnacentral:rRNA from 1 species
GACGAACGCUGGCGGCGUGCUUAACACAUGCAAGUCGUACGGUAAGGCCCUUUCGGGGGUACACGAGUGGCGAACGGGUGAGUAACACGUGAGUAACCUGCCCACAACUUUGGGAUAACGCUAGGAAACUGGUGCUAAUACUGGAUAUGUGCCCCUGCUGCAUGGUGGGGGUUGGAAAGCUCCGGCGGUUGUGGAUGGACUCGCGGCCUAUCAGCUUGUUGGUGGGGUAGUGGCCUACCAAGGCGGCGACGGGUAGCCGGCCUGAGAGGGUGACCGGCCACACUGGGACUGAGAGACGGCCCCGACUCCUACGGGAGGCAGCAGUGGGGAAUAUUGCACAAUGGGCGCAAGCCUGAUGCAGCAACGCCGCGUGCGGGAUGACGGCCUUAGGGUUGUAAACCGCUUUCAGCAGGGACGAAGCUUUUUGUGACGGUACCUGCAGAAGAAGCACCGGCUAACUACGUG